GGGGGGAACAACCCUUCAAGCACCCGAUACUUCUUCAGAAGCGCUGAACUUCAAUAAUCUAGCUGCUGCUGGUUAACUAGUGCCGUUUAUUCAAUUCUGUGCUCCGCUGGGUUUUGUGACUGCAGUGUUUAGUGAUGUGACAGCUGGAGGUCGUGAUGUUGAGGGUGGUAUUAUACAGCCAGCUGCUCCUUAGACAGAAUGAAGGGUGAGCGGCUGCCGUCUCCUGUCUCCCAGCCCAUCGCCUCGCCUCUCCAAGCCUCAUAAACACACUGCCUAUGCAGCUGUGUCCCUGUAGAGACCGGCCUCAGCACCAACAUUCUCCUUUCUGCCCAGGCAGCCAAGUCAUUACAGCCAAUUCUCAGCAAAGAGUAAGCGAGAGAGCGAGGGAGAGAGCGAGAGAGCAUGUGAUGGAGCCAUAAUGAGAAAAGACAGCUCAUACCCUGCAACCAAUAAGAGAAAGAGAAAAGAGAAACAAAGAGCACGGGCUAUAGGAUUCAAUAUAUGUAUCUAUGCAUGUGCACAGAAACAAGACAUACUGCUCAUCUGAGUGAAUUCACAUGUGUGUAAAAGUGUAAUAAAAGAGAAUGUGUGUGUUUAUGCAUGUGUUUGUGUGUGUUGGGGGAGGGUAUGUGUAGAAACAGAUAAUGGAAAUACUGCAUGUGUGAUAAUGCUUG